rnacentral:rRNA from 1 species
UACGUAGGGGGCAAGCGUUGUCCGGAUUUAUUGGGCGUAAAGAGCGUGUAGGCGGCCAUACAGGUCAGCUGUGAAAACUCGAGGCUCAACCGUCGAGACGUCGGUUGAAACCGUAUGGCUAGAGUCCGGAAGAGGAGAGUGGAAGUUCCCGGUGUAGCGGUGAAAUGCGCAGAUAUCGGGAAGAACACCCGUGGCGAAGGCGGCUC